UGAUGGAUGAACAGAUGGAUUUUUCAUUCAGCCACAGACCCCAUCACCAUGACAGGUGCGUCCUCUAUGGGGUCGAACAUGGAGUUAUGAGCCUGGAGCUCUUUGCACAUAAAGCAGAUAAACUCCUACAUAAGUGAGCCAUGGUGAGUUCAGUUUGAUGAUGCCUUGUUUUUUUACAAUUCAGAUAUUCAUGACUCAUGAUUUUUGCAUUGCAGGUGAAAAUUAGAGAGCCUUGGAGCUUUGCUAAAUGGGUUCCACAACACCUGACACCGUGCAAGACUGGCUGUAAAAAUAACAAAACAAAAAAA